rnacentral:lncRNA from 1 species
CAGGCCACAGUCUCAGAAUCCACUCACUUGGGAGAGGUGACCCAGGAGGAAGCUGAUAGGAGGCUGGCUGAAACUCAGGUAGUCAAAAGCUGCCAUCUGAUUCUCAGAACUCCUCCGUGUGUGGGGCUGUCAGCUCCACAUAGGACCAAAGUAUACGUGUCCAAAGUACCGCGGCGGCAUCAGGACUUAAUCAUGCAGACUGAAUAAGACUGCGAAAAAUGGUGAACAGUAGGUGCUCACGGAAAAUCUGUUCGAAAAAUGAGGAAAUGAAACCAAGAAACAAAGGCAAGGUGUAGUCAACCUAUAUCUUUUGCUAGAGCCCUGUCUGAUGUCUUGCCAUAAGGUCCCACAAGGCUUCAAGAUAUAAGGAAU